AGAGUUUGAUCAUGGCUCAGGACGAACGCUGGCGGCGUGCCUAAUACAUGCAAGUUGAACGAUGAUUUCUGGUACUUGUAUCAGAAUGAAGAGUAGCGAACGGGUGAGUAACGCGUGGGUAACCUACCUCUUAGCGGGGGACAACUAUUGGAAACGAUAGCUAAUACCGCAUAACAAUGCUUAACACAUGUUAAGGAUUUGAAAGUACCAAUUGGUACACUAGGAGAUGGACCCGCGUUGUAUUAGCUAGUUGGUAGUGUAAUGGACUACCAAGGCGAUGAUACAUAGCCGACCUGAGAGGGUGAUCGGCCACAUUGGGACUGAGACACGGCCCAAACUCCUACGGGAGGCAGCAGUAGGGAAUCUUCGGCAAUGGACGAAAGUCUGACCGAGCAACGCCGCGUGAGUGAAGAAGGUUUUCGGAUCGUAAAACUCUGUUGUUAGAGAAGAACGUUGUGUAGAGUGGAAAAUUACACAAGUGACGGUAUCUAACCAGAAAGGGACGGCUAACUACGUGCCAGCAGCCGCGGUAAUACGUAGGUCCCGAGCGUUGUCCGGAUUUAUUGGGCGUAAAGCGAGCGCAGGUGGUUUAAUAAGUCUGAUGUAAAAGGCAGUGGCUCAACCAUUGUGUGCAUUGGAAACUGUUAGACUUGAGUGCAGUAGAGGAGAGUGGAAUUCCAUGUGUAGCGGUGAAAUGCGUAGAUAUAUGGAGGAACACCGGUGGCGAAAGCGGCUCUCUGGACUGUAACUGACACUGAGGCUCGAAAGCGUGGGUAGCAAACAGGAUUAGAUACCCUGGUAGUCCACGCCGUAAACGAUGAGUGCUAGUUGUUUGGGGCUAUCCAGCCCUAAGUGACGCAGCAAACGCAUUAAGCACUCCGCCUGGGGAGUACGACCGCAAGGUUGAAACUCAAAGGAUUGACGGGGCCCGCACAGCGUGAGCAUGUGUUUAUUCGAAGCAACGCGAAGAACCUUACCAGGUCUUGACAUA
rnacentral:rRNA from 1 species